GAUGAACGCUAGCGACAGGCUUAACACAUGCAAGUCGAGGGGCAGCAUGAGCUUAGCUUGCUAAGUUUGACGGCGACCGGCGCACGGGUGAGUAACGCGUAUGCAACUUACCGAUAACUCGGGGAUAGCCUUUCGAAAGAAAGAUUAAUACCCGAUAGCAUAGUAUUUCCGCAUGGUUUCACUAUUAAAGAACUUCGGUUAUCGAUGGGGAUGCGUUCCAUUAGAUAGUUGGCGGGGUAACGGCCCACCAAGUCAACGAUGGAUAGGGGUUCUGAGAGGAAGGUCCCCCACAUUGGAACUGAGACACGGUCCAA
rnacentral:rRNA from 1 species